rnacentral:tRNA from 1 species
GACGGUUAAAGCCCCUCCUYUACUA